rnacentral:SRP_RNA from 1 species
CAUGAGCACUUUGGAAUGUGCCUCCGGUCCCAGCUACUCGGGACGCUGAGGCGGGAGGAUGGCUUGAGUCCAGGAGUUCUGGGCUGCAGUGAGCUAUGCCUAUAGGGUGUCCGCACUAAGUUCGUCAUCAAUAUGGUGACCUCCUGGGAGCGGGAGACCACCAGGUUGCCUAAGGAGGGGUGAACCAGCCCAGGUCAGAGACGAAGCAGGUCAAAACUCCUGUGCUGAGCAGUAGUGGGAUCGCACCCGUGAAUAGCCGCUGCACUCCAGCCUGGGUAACAAGUGAGGCCCUACCUUA